GUCCAGUGUUGUUUCUGUGGUGGUGUAGCUUUGAUUCCCAGCCCAGGAAAUUCCAUAUGCCAUGAGUGGCUUUCAUAUUUGAGGCCAAAAAAAAAAAAAAUUUGUGGGUUAGAGGCUUAUCUUUUACCAAAUGUUCCUAGCAAAUUUUUAACAUUCUAUAUGUUGGAAUUCAGUUAAAUUGUAAUUAUGACUCAUGACUGUACCGCCACAUAUAUACUGAAUUGAAAUUGUCAAUGAUUUUUUUUUUAAUCUGAUAAUGCUUAGGAUUGUUUAGGUUGCUUUAAGGAGCAAAGCAAAUGUACCAUGUGCAGCAAAUGUAUUUUUCACUAUUCGAUUUUUGGAUUUUUUAAAUUAUUUAUUUUUCCACCAGUCUUGAAUCUUCAAUCUUUUUUAUUUUUAAUUUUUAAUUUCUUUUUUUCUUUUUAGGGCCGCACUUGCAGCAUAUGGAAGUUCACAGGCUAGGGGUCAAAUUGGAGCUACAGCUGCCAGCCUAUUCCACAGCCACAGCAAUGCAGGAUUUGAGCUGUGUCUGUGACCUAAGCCACAGCUAAUGGCAAUGCAGGAUACUUAACCCACUCAGCGAGGCCAAGGAUUGAGGUCAUGUACUCAUGGAUACUAGCGCUUAGUUACUGCUGAGCCAGAACAGGAACUCAUUUUUUUAAAUUUUUAUUUUUUUUUGUUUCAAUUUUGAAUCUUCAUUCUUAUUUGUUUUCUAAUUAAAGAGAAUUUUCUGCUGACCAAAGACUGACUUUAUACAGAUGGGAUGCAGCUGCAUAUGUUGGCAUGAUUGAUGAGAUCCGCUCCAGUUAGGCAAGCAACCCUGGGCGACCAGUUUACCCUUCCCCACCAGGAUUUCAGCUGCCAGUGGCCCCCAUUCUGUGACAGCUUCUCCUUCUCCUCACCUUGUCAUCAAGCCAAGACUGUACACUGUAGGAGUACAGGCUGGAAUCUUGGACCUGAGACCUUUGCUGCUGCGUUGGCUGCAAUGCUUGCACCUGGACAAAUACCUUCUUCAACGAUAAAAUACAAAGAAACUAUAAGGGACUAAAAGUGGCUGUACUUGUGAAAUUGGGACAAAUUAAUGGACAAGAAGAUACAAAGAAAUAAAAAAAACAGAAAAAUGAACCAAACAAACAAAUCCAAUUGCCACUUCUGAAGAGCCAAAAGGAAAAGCAGGGUGUCAGAAGAAAAGGACAUGUUCCCUGCACACACCACCACAAAAGGGGUUGGCAGACCACCUAAGCCACCCCUCUGGCCCAGACCACGGUUUCAUCCCUAUCCUUGCUCCAUUUAAGAAACCAGCUCUCCCUUCCCCCAACCCCAGUCUCCCCACAUUGAGGGAGCAAGCAAGGGAAACUAUUGUUUGUUUUUGCCUACCCUUGCUGCAGCAGGGAUGCCAAUGAAGCCUUAGCUGAAUUUUCCUGUCUGGCUUCUUAUCAAUUUCUAAUCACCAGGGGCAGUAACAUUACUUAUACUAAGCCUCUCUGUCCCAUCUAAAUAGACUAAUCACUUAUGCCUGAGGAAAUUAGCCUUCCUUUGCUUGAAAGCACUGUGAUGAUACUCUCUCCUGGUGCAAAUAGUUGCAAGAGGAUACUGAUUCUUCUCAAUACCCUAAGAGAUCACCACUUACUGCUUCUAGUUGACCCGUAAAUAGUCAGAUAUUAACAUGAAUGUAAGGAAAUUGUUCCAAAGAGAGAAUUUUCUAAACCUCUUCAGAGUGAUACAUUAUCUCUAGCUUCCAAGGCUUCUUCACUAUUCAAGUAGGCUGGGUCAUACAGAAAUAGGCAAACGUUCAUGGAGAACAUCCUCCAACAAUUUAUUAUGAUGAGCAGCAAGGGUGCACUGGUAAUGGAUUAAAGCUUUGGCCCAUAGGGAUCUUGGAACACUUAAUAAAUCAUUAUGUCCUAAGAAAACUGACAGAUGGACAGCAUUUUAUAUUAUUGUAUACUUAUAACACAGGAGAAAAAAGUCUUCUAGAUCUGGUGGCUAAAAAUCUGUUGAGUCACUACAGUGAAAACCAUGGCCUUGAACUCAGUUUCUAGACUGAUGUCAGGUCACCAUCAUAAAGCAUCUUGGUUGUAAAAGGAGACUGGGGCCUCCAGGGAAAAGGGCCCUCUCAGAAAAGAAUCUGGUUCUGUUGCAAUAAGUAUAUAUUGCAAUGUUUUUUCAAGCCUUUUUCAAAGAAACCAGCAGACAUUUAUAGAUUUCCUACGUACUGGAAUAAACAAAUAUCCAGAAUUUAUGGGAACUGCAACAUUGGCUCUGAAUUGACAAUAAUUUCUGGGGCUCCAAGACAUCAGUAUGGCCCAUGAAAAACUGGAGAGGAGGUAAACCAGAAGCAGUACCAUAACUUUGGGACAAUUGCUGAAAUUAAUGCCACUGUCAAUGAUUUGAAAGAUGCAAGGAUUGUGCUAAGUAAUACAUAUCCAUUUAAGGUAACUGUUUCUUCUAUGCCAAGGGGAACUGGAUCUUGGAGAUUCAUUAUAGAUCAUUGUAAACGUUAUCAGACGGUAAUCACAUUGUACCUGCCAUUCCAAUUAUAGUAUCUCU
rnacentral:lncRNA from 9 species